GUGCCCAGGAAGGCUGCUCGUGAGGAAAAAGUACCUGUGGCCACUGCCAAAGCACCGGAGCUUCCAGCACCCAGAGUGCCCGAGAUGCCUGAGGCAGAGGUCCCGGAAGAGGAAGAGGAGGAGGAAGUACCGCCAGAGGUGGCACCAGUUGCUGAGCCUGUAGAACCAGAAGCUCCUCCAGCUGAAGCACCAGAACCUGAAAAGAAGAUCCCUGAAAAGCGAAAACCACCACCACCUACUCCACCAACAGAAGAUAUUAAAUUGGCAAAAGAACUACUUAAAGCUCCUGGAUUAAGGAAGAAAGUUGUGACUGCAAAACCUGGU
rnacentral:lncRNA from 1 species